rnacentral:rRNA from 1 species
AUGGCUCGACGGCGCUGUUUUGGGAAGAUUGGUGGGCAGUCCGUCUGUGAGGUCACCCCUCUGCUCUACCAAUGCAUUCCCAAACGACGACACAAAGUCAGGACGGUGGCAGAUGGGCUGGCAGGUAACUCUUGGGCGCAUGAUAUACAGGGGAUCCUGGGCCUGCACGAGAUCGGCCAAUACUUGCUGCUUUGGCAAGCAGUGUGUCACACCACCCUGACGAGCGAGCCGGAUCGCUUGCUCUGGAGGUGGACUGCCAACGGCAUAUACUCGGCGCGCUCGUGUUAUGCGGCCAGUUUUCAGGGAUCCACACGUUGCCCUUCCUGGCAGUUGGUCUGGAAGAGCUGGGCGCCACCACGGGUUAAAUUCUUCCAUUGGUUGGCCGCCCAGGAUCGCUGCUGGACUACUGAAAGGCUUGGGCGACGCGGUUUGCAGCAUCACCCUCGAUGCCUUCAUUGCGACCAGGCCAUGGAGACUAUUCAGCACCUGUUCCUGGCCUGCCCCUUUGCUCGCCAGACCUGGCAUAUCAUCCUUGACUGGCUGCAUAUUCCGGCCCCAAUUCCAAAUCAGAAACCCAUGGUCAUGGAGUGGUGGCUGCACGCGAAAGAGCUCACGCCACCUGCGCACCGGAGGCCCUCAAGUCCAUCGCGCUUCUUGUUCCCUGGAUGUUAUGGAAGCACAGGAACGGGCGUGUCUUAG